AGAGUUUGAUCAUGGCUCAGGAUGAACGCUAGCGGCAGGCUUAAUACAUGCAAGUCGAGGGGCAGCACAGAUAGCAAUAUUGGGUGGCGACCGGCAAACGGGUGCGGAACACGUACAGAACCUUCCUUCGAGCGGGGAAUAGCCCGAAGAAAUUCGGAUUAAUACCCCAUAGUAAAUUGAAAAGGCAUCUUUUUAAUUUUAAAGAUUUAUCACUUGAAGAUGGCUGUGCGCCUGAUUAGGUAGUUGGCGGGGUAAUGGCCCACCAAGCCUUCGAUCAGUAACUGGCGUGAGAGCGCGACCAGUCACACGGGCACUGAGACACGGGCCCGACUCCUACGGGAGGCAGCAGUAAGGAAUAUUGGUCAAUGGACGCAAGUCUGAACCAGCCAUGCCGCGUGGAGGAUGAAGGUCCUCUGGAUUGUAAACUUCUUUUAUUUGGGACGAAAAAAGAUCAUUCUUGAUCACUCGACGGUACCAGAUGAAUAAGCACCGGCUAACUCCGUGCCAGCAGCCGCGGUAAUACGGAGGGUGCAAGCGUUAUCCGGAUUUACUGGGUUUAAAGGGUGCGCAGGCGGAUAUGUAAGUCAGUGGUGAAAUCUUUGGGCUUAACCCGAAAAUUGCCAUUGAUACUAUAUAUCUUGAAUGCUGUGGAGGUAAGCGGAAUAUGUCAUGUAGCGGUGAAAUGCUUAGAUAUGACAUAGAACAUCUAUUGCGAAGGCAGCUUACUACGCAGAUAUUGACGCUCAUGCACGAAAGCGUGGGGAUCAAACAGGAUUAGAUACCCUAGUAGUCC
rnacentral:rRNA from 1 species